rnacentral:rRNA from 1 species
AUGAACGCUAGCUACAGGCUUAACACAUGCAAGUCGAGGGGCAUCAGGAAGAAAGCUUGCUUUCUUUGCUGGCGACCGGCGCACGGGUGAGUAACACGUAUCCAACCUGCCCUUUACUCGGGGAUAGCCUUUCGAAAGAAAGAUUAAUACCCGAUGGCAUAAUGAUUCCGCAUGGUUUCAUUAUUAAAGGAUUCCGGUAAAGGAUGGGGAUGCGUUCCAUUAGGUUGUUGGUGAGGUAACGGCUCACCAAGCCUUCGAUGGAUAGGGGUUCUGAGAGGAAGGUCCCCCACAUUGGAACUGAGACACGGUCCAAACUCCUACGGGAGGCAGCAGUGAGGAAUAUUGGUCAAUGGGCGCUAGCCUGAACCAGCCAAGUAGCGUGAAGGAUGAAGGCUCUAUGGGUCGUAAACUUCUUUUAUAUAAGAAUAAAGUGCAGUAUGUAUACUGUUUUGUAUGUAUUAUAUGAAUAAGGAUCGGCUAACUCCGUGCCAGCAGCCGCGGUAAUACGGAGGAUCCGAGCGUUAUCCGGAUUUAUUGGGUUUAAAGGGAGCGUAGGUGGACUGGUAAGUCAGUUGUGAAAGUUUGCGGCUCAACCGUAAAAUUGCAGUUGAUACUGUCAGUCUUGAGUACAGUAGAGGUGGGCGGAAUUCGUGGUGUAGCGGUGAAAUGCUUAGAUAUCACGAAGAACUCCGAUUGCGAAGGCAGCUCACUGGACUGCAACUGACACUGAUGCUCGAAAGUGUGGGUAUCAAACAGGAUUAGAUACCCUGGUAGUCCACACAGUAAACGAUGAAUACUCGCUGUUUGCGAUAUACAGUAAGCGGCCAAGCGAAAGCAUUAAGUAUUCCACCUGGGGAGUACGCCGGCAACGGUGAAACUCAAAGGAAUUGACGGGGGCCCGCACAAGCAGCGGAGCAUGUGGUUUAAUUCGAUGAUACGCGAGGAACCUUACCCGGGCUUAAAUUGCAGUGGAAUGAUGUGGAAACAUGUCAGUGAGCAAUCACCGCUGUGAAGGUGCUGCAUGGUUGUCGUCAGCUCGUGCCGUGAGGUGUCGGCUUAAGUGCCAUAACGAGCGCAACCCUUAUCUUUAGUUACUAACAGGUCAUGCUGAGGACUCUAGAGAGACUGCCGUCGUAAGAUGUGAGGAAGGUGGGGAUGACGUCAAAUCAGCACGGCCCUUACGUCCGGGGCUACACACGUGUUACAAUGGGGGGUACAGAAGGCAGCUAGCGGGUGACCGUAUGCUAAUCCCAAAAUCCUCUCUCAGUUCGGAUCGAAGUCUGCAACCCGACUUCGUGAAGCUGGAUUCGCUAGUAAUCGCGCAUCAGCCACGGCGCGGUGAAUACGUUCCCGGGCCUUGUACACACCGCCCGUCAAGCCAUGGGAGCCGGGGGUACCUGAAGUACGUAACCGCAAGGAUCGUCCUAGGGUAAAACUGGUGACUGGGGCU